rnacentral:lncRNA from 1 species
CACCACUGGCCCUCUUGCAUUGCGCAGACAGAAACAGACAGUCAGCUGUUGUAACGGAGGUAAAAAAUAAAACAUGCCGUAAACUAAGCUCACUCCACAGCUAACUUAAAAUGUCACCAAUGCUGCUAUCGAAUCGAAUCUUUGGCUAUAGGACUACUGGUUGAUACGUUGUCAAGUACCACUGGUCCGAGCCCUGUAAAGAGACAGGGACAGUGGAGGAAAGCGAAGCUGUUAGCGGCACACUGAUGUCAGUUUCACUGUGGUCCACUGAAAAGCAAUAAACACUUCUAUGUACUGUACGUUUACUCUGUUGUAGCGCAGAAAUGUAAUUAAUUUCAAUCUAUUGUUAAUGAUAUUGCAAUCAUGUACUGUAUGUUUUCUGUAUGAUUCUGCUCCGCCACUAUGAAUAAUCGUCACUGUGGCUAGCCAAUCAUUUAUUUCUCAUAAUCGAAUCAAUUUCAAUUAAAAAAUAAAAAAUGUUUAUUUUAAACUCUCCAAGUAUUAAUAACUUCUGUUUAUGUUACUUUUUUGCAUAUUUUUUUUCUCAUCACUUUAAGUUGCUCUCAAUGGUCGUUCACCAGGUACGACCAUAUUUAGUUUACUGCGACUAGAUUUGUGAAAGCCUAAUCUUGACGACACAGAAUCAGAAAAUAUCCCGGAAAAUACCUAAUCUAUCGACAAGAGAUUAGUACAAACCAGGUCUGAAAUGCACCAGAAACAACGGCAUUGUGAUGAAACAAGACAGUGACAAGUCCUACACUAGGACAGGUGGUUUCACAACAGGACCACUGAUGACAGGCCAGGUCCUACUCUGCUCUUCUACCUAUCCAACAGACCCUUAUCUAAAGGUGUCAUCAUACCCAACCUGUGCCAAUGUACCGCAUCACAACUAACGCUGACACAUUCCAGUAACUUCCGCCACCACCCCCAAAAAAUGACCAGGUUUACCAGAAAUCUUAGUUGGAAGAUUUUGCAAUCCUAAUCUGAAUUUAAAACAUUGGAUAUACAGUAUAUGUGUUGUGGUAUUCUGUCUGGUAUGUUAUGUGCUUUCAACAGUAUGAAGAGAUUAAAUAGAGCUUUAUCUGAACUCGUGAUGUUAAGGAAAUGUUAAGUCUUUUGUACUAGUUACAGUACAUGGGUACAAUCAGAGUUACAGUACAUGGGUACAAUCAGAGUAACAGUACAUGGGUACAAUCAGAGUAACAGUACAUGGGUACAAUCAGAGUAACAGUACAUGG